rnacentral:rRNA from 1 species
AUUGAACGCUGGCGGCAUGCCUUACACAUGCAAGUCGAACGGCAGCACGGGUGCUUGCACCUGGUGGCGAGUGGCGAACGGGUGAGUAAUACAUCGGAACAUGUCCUGUAGUGGGGGAUAGCCCGGCGAAAGCCGGAUUAAUACCGCAUACGAUCUACGGAUGAAAGCGGGGGACCUUCGGGCCUCGCGCUAUAGGGUUGGCCGAUGGCUGAUUAGCUAGUUGGUGGGGUAAAGGCCUACCAAGGCGACGAUCAGUAGCUGGUCUAAGAGGACGACCAGCCACACUGGGACUGAGACACGGCCCAGACUCCUACGGGAGGCAGCAGUGGGGAAUUUUGGACAAUGGGCGAAAGCCUGAUCCAGCAAUGCCGCGUGUGUGAAGAAGGCCUUCGGGUUGUAAAGCACUUUUGUCCGGAAAGAAAUCCUUGGCCCUAAUACGGUCGGGGGAUGACGGUACCGGAAGAAUAAGCACCGGCUAACUACGUG